rnacentral:rRNA from 1 species
AAAUUGAAGAGUUUGAUCAUGGCUCAGAUUGAACGCUGGCGGCAGGCCUAACACAUGCAAGUCGAACGGUAACAGGAAGCAGCUUGCUGUUUUGCUGACGAGUGGCGGACGGGUGAGUAAUGUCUGGGAAACUGCCUGAUGGAGGGGGAUAACUACUGGAAACGGUGGCUAAUACCGCAUAACGUCGCAAGACCAAAGAGGGGGACCUUCGGGCCUCUUGCCAUCAGAUGUGCCCAGAUGGGAUUAGCUUGUUGGUGAGGUAACGGCUCACCAAGGCGACGAUCCCUAGCUGGUCUGAGAGGAUGACCAGCCACACUGGAACUGAGACACGGUCCA